GACGAACGCUGGCGGCGUGCUUAACACAUGCAAGUCGAACGCUGAAGCCCAGCUUUUGUUGGGUGGAUGAGUGGCGAACGGGUGAGUAACACGUGAGUAACCUGCCUCCUUCUUUGGGAUAACGCCCGGAAACGGGUGCUAAUACUGGAUAUUCACUGGUCUUCGCAUGGGGGUUGGUGGAAAGGGUUUUUCUGGUGGGGGAUGGGCUCGCGGCCUAUCAGCUUGUUGGUGGGGUGAUGGCCUACCAAGGCUUUGACGGGUAGCCGGCCUGAGAGGGUGACCGGUCAGAUUGGGGGUGAGAUACGGCCCAGACUCCGACGGGGGGCAGCAGGGGGGGAUAUUGCGCAAUGGGCGCAAGCCUGAUGCAGCGACGCCGGGUGAGGGAUGGAGGGCUUCGGGUUGUGAACCUCUUUGGCUCAUGGUCAAGCCGCAACAAUGGUUGGAGUGAGGGUAGUGGGUAAAGAAGCGCCGGCUAACUACGUG
rnacentral:rRNA from 1 species